CCUACGGGGGGCUGCAGUGGGGAAUUUUGGACAAUGGGGGCAACCCUGAUCCAGCCAUGCCGCGUGCGGGAAGAAGGCCUUCGGGUUGUAAACCGCUUUUGUCAGGGAAGAAAUCUUCCGAGCUAAUACCUUGGGAGGAUGACGGUACCUGAAGAAUAAGCACCGGCUAACUACGUGCCAGCAGCCGCGGUAAUACGUAGGGUGCAAGCGUUAAUCGGAAUUGCUCGGCGUAUUGUGUAAGACAGCGGUUAAAUCCCCAGGCUUAACCUGGGAACUGCACUUGUGACUGUACGGCUGGAGUACGGCAGAGGGGGAUGGAAUUCCGCGUGUAGCAGUGAAAUGCGUAGAUGUGCGGAGGAACACCGAUGGCGAAGGCAGUCCCCUGGGCCUGUACUGACGCUCAUGCACGAAAGCGUGGGGAGCAAACAGGAUUAGAUACCCCAGUAGUC
rnacentral:rRNA from 1 species